rnacentral:rRNA from 1 species
GACGAACGCUGGCGGCGUGCUUAACACAUGCAAGUCGAGCGGAAAGGCCCUUCGGGGUACUCGAGCGGCGAACGGGUGAGUAACACGUGAGUAACCUGCCCCAGACUUUGGGAUAACCCUCGGAAACGGGGGCUAAUACCGGAUACGACACAGCUUCGCAUGGGGUCUGUGUGGAAAGUUUUUCGGUUUGGGAUGGGCUCGCGGCCUAUCAGCUUGUUGGUGGGGUGAUGGCCUACCAAGGCGACGACGGGUAGCCGGCCUGAGAGGGCGACCAGCCACACUGGGACUGAGCCACGGCCCAGACUCCUACGGGAGGCAGCAGUGGGGAAUAUUGCACAAUGGGCGGAAGCCUGAUGCAGCGACGCCGCGUGAGGGAUGACGGCCUUCGGGUUGUAAACCUCUUUCAGCAGGGACGAAGCGUAAGUGACGGUACCUGCAGAAGAAGCGCCGGCCAACUACGUG